UGGGAUUCUCUCUCUCUCCCUCUCUCUCUCUCUCUGCCCCUCCCUGGCUCACACACACAUGCUCUCUCUCAAAAUAAACAUUAAAAAAAAAAAUUCAUACAACCUAAUUUCAUGCAACAAAUAUCCUGACCAUUCUGCUAUAAAGAAACAGAACAGAAAUAGCAAAGAACUUUUUUUAAAGAUUGUCAUUAAAAAAAUAACAAAAUAAUUACACAUUCUGUCAGUUUCUUAACAUCUAAAAUGACUUUCCUAAUUCACGAUGCUAUGUAUUAUACAGGCUCUAUAAACUUCAUCUCUAUGGGGGUUUCUUUCCCCCAGAAGACUUGUUUUCUACAAACCAAAAGCUUCACUGGAUAACAUAAGUUUUCUCUUACGUUAAAAAAGAGUGUGUUGACGUCAAUGUUAGAAGUUAAUUGAGUGCAGGAGUAAAUAACCUGCAACUUCUCACUGCCGAGGAGCUCCCUCAGGUCAUAUACUCUGAAAGCAAUAACCUGCAAGAUGGCACCGUCAAACACACCAAGAAUAGCUCCAAAUGAGAGAGAAAGAUUAUUUCUGGACAUCUCUUUUGAGUUCUCCCACAGCUCAAUCUCAUGGACAUUCUGUUCAGUCACCCAGUAAUGAAGUAUUCUGCUGUCCUUGACAGUGGCACAUACGAAGAUCAUGUGGUGGUUUAUAAUUAACUGUAAGUGACACAGAAGACGCUGAUACAUUUGAGUAGUAUCACAACUGGAAAUCCUGGAGCAGAGUUGCAGUUCCAUCAGAUAGUUAUGCGUCACUAAAUAUAGAUCUGUGGCUUAGAAUGUACAGUUCAUGAAGAGCUGACUUCUGGAAAAAGCAACAUCAUCCUCCAUGCUAAUAAGGCAAAUGUGAGGAUAUCUUGCUAUUAAGUGAGUCCAGUGAACAAGGAACUUUAAGAACAACAGAAAUCAGUAAUUGGACUAACCAGGAAAAGGGGAGCUCUUUGAAGCUCCUAUCCAAAGCAACUGAAAUAAGUAAUGAAGGCUGAAGAAGAAUAUUCAAAAUAAUGGGUAAUCACUAAACACUUCCCAAUUGGGAGGCCAAGCAAGAAAUAAGUCAGAAUAAGAUAACCAUGACUAGGACCAAACAACGACGACGACAAGAACAACAACAACAACAUAGAGGCACAAACACAAAACGGAACAGUGCACAUGGUAGGUGAUAUAAAUGUGCCAAAUAAAUGAAGAAAACAAUAAGCUGGAAAAAUCAAGUGUCAAGACAGAAGACUCCUUCUCUCUAGACUCUUCCAAGCUGCUGAAACAAACGUCUACGUUGUUUUUCUCAAGGUGGCUGCAUCAAAUCCUAACAUCUCUACCUCACACUUCCUUCUCCUCCCUUCAGUUAAAGGAUGAUGGAAUCAAGCCAAGUGAGCCCAAACCCUGGAUCCAACACCUAUCAGCUUGUGCUCAACUCUGUACCAGCAGAGAAUCCAGCGCUCAAAAGACUGCCACAUGGACCCACUUGGAAUACCCAAAUGCUGCCGCUGGGGUCUCACCCAUCCGUGACUUACAGAAACUGUCUGUUCUCUUUGUAGAACAAAGACCCUUUGUUCUCCUUGUUCUUUACACUUUACAUAUAAUGGGUCAUCUAAUUCUCAUGACAAUCUCACAAGGCAAAACCCAUUAUUAUCCUCAUCUUAUACAUGAGAAACAAAGGCCCAGAGAGUAAAGGUCUUAACCAAGGCCACACAGCUAGUAAGUGGCAGGGCCAGGAUAUGAACUCCAGCAAUCUGACUCCAGAGUCCACACUCGGCAAUCACUCUGGCCUCCUAGGAUUCCCCAAAGCCUCCUGUACCUAAUUCUAUAAUGGUACUUACUCCAAAGCAUUAAUAUCAUUGUUCUGCCUUCUACAAAACUCUUACCCUAACACCUAAGCAAAAGGCCUAACACAAAGAUUGCAGUGGGGCACCUGGGUGGCUCAGAUAAACAUCUGACUCUUGGUUUCAGCUCAGGUCACGAUUUCACGGUUUGAGGAGUUCAAGCCCCGCGAUGGGCUCUGUGCUGGCAGCACAGAGUCUGUUUGGGAUUCUCUCUCUUGCCCUCUCUGUCCCUCCGCCACUCACCCUCUUUCUCAAAAUAGAUAAAUAAGCUUCAAAAAAAAAAAAAAAAAAAAGGAAGUAUGCAUUUAAUCAAGGCUACUAAAUUAAUAACGACUGACCUUCACCUGUCUUCAUGAAGACAUCCUUAUAGUAAUUUCUAAUUUUUAUAUUUUUAAGGUACUGAAAAAUUAAUAAAGGAAAAAUUUUUAUGCCUACUUAACAAUUUUUAAAACUUUUUCUUUUUACCUUUCAACCCCCUGCCUCUAGUACUCACCAAUCUGUUCUCUGUGUGUAUGAGCUUGGUGUUUUGUUUUGUUUUUUUAAUUCUACAUUCUUAUAUAAGAGUGGUCAUAUAGCAUUUGUCUUUCUCUGACUUAUUUCACCCGCCAUAAUGCCACUGAGGUACAAUCCAUGUUGUCACAAAUGGCAAGAUUUCCCUUUUUUUAUAGUGGAACAAAAUUCAAUUGUAUAUAUGAGUAUAUGUAUGUAUUAUAUCUUCUUUAUCAUCCACUGAUGAAUACUUAAGGUUAUUUCCAUGUCUUGGCUAUUGUACAUGCUUCAGUGAACACGAGAGUGAUGUAUCUUU